UACGGAGGGGGCAAGCGUUGCUCGGAAUCACUGGGCGUAAAGCGCACGUAGGCGGAUUGCUAAGUCAGGGGUGAAAUCCUGGAGCUCAACUCCAGAACUGCCCUUGAUACUGGCGGUCUCGAGUCCGGGAGAGGUGAGUGGAACUGCGAGUGUAGAGGUGAAAUUCGUAGAUAUUCGCAAGAACACCGGUGGCGAAGGCGGUUCUCUGGGCCUUACCUGGACGCUGAGGAGCGAAAGCGUGGGGAGCGAACAGG
rnacentral:rRNA from 1 species